GAUGAACGCUGGCGGCGUGCUUAAUACAUGCAAGUCGAACGGAAAGGCCCGGAUCUUGUGGGGUGCUCGAGUGGCGAACGGGUGUGUAUCACGUGAGUAACAUGCCCUUGACUGUGGGAUAACUUUAGGAAGCAGGGGAUCAUACCGGAUAGGAGAUCCUGAUGCAUGGUGGGGGAUGGAAAGUUUCGGCGGUUGGGGAAGGACUGGCGGCUUAUCAGCUUGUUGGUGGGGUAGUGGCUUACCAAGGCUUUGACGGGUAGCAGGCCUUAGAGGUUGACCGGCCUCAUUGGGACUGAGAUACGGACCAGACGGCAACGUGAGGCAGCGGUGGAGAAUAUUGCGCAAUAGGCGGAAGCCUGUUGCAACAACGCCGCGUGCGUAAUAACGUCCUUCGGGUUGUAAACCGCUUUGGCCUGUGACGAGGCGGGAGUGACGGUAAUGGAUAAAAAAGCACCGGCUAACUACGUG
rnacentral:rRNA from 1 species